GUGGAGGGGACUGAGUGUUUCUCAUUUCAUCUUCCACUCCUGCUGUGGCUGACUGUGGCCCAGGUGAAGAUGGCAGAACUCCCAAGAAAGGACCAGGAUCACAGAUCACCUGGUGCAAAACAGCUCUGUUGGAGAAUCACAGGACACUUUGUGAGAGCAAACUACUAAUUCAGGGAGGUGUGAAGUUCCUGAAGGUUCAAGGUGAGAAAACUGAUGCCUGAAAGAGAGAAUCAAGGGUUUCUAAGCUCAGCCCCCUGUCUCAUGAGUUCACCAUGGCUUUAACAAGGAACCUACCCGAGAACAUUUGAUUUUGCCUCCUUUUGAAGAUUUCAUGGAAAUGUGACAUUGCAUUGCCAUUAAAUAGAUUCAUCUCUCACACUGCUAGUCUUUUUCCAAUAGUGUUUCUACAAAAUUUUUC
rnacentral:lncRNA from 1 species